rnacentral:rRNA from 1 species
GACGAACGCUGGCGGCGUGCCUAAUACAUGCAAGUUGAGCGAUGAAGAUUGGUGCUUGCACCAAUUUGCAGAGCAGCGAACGGGUGAGUAACGCGUGGGGAAUCUGCCUUUGAGCGGGGGACAACAUUUGGAAACGAAUGCUAAUACCGCAUAACAACUUUAAACAUAAGUUUUAAGUUUGAAAGAUGCAAUUGCAUCACUCAAAGAUGAUCCCGCGUUGUAUUAGCUAGUUGGUGAGGUAAAGGCUCACCAGGGCGAUGAUACAUAGCCGACCUGAGAGGGUGAUCGGCCACAUUGGGACUGAGACACGGCCCAAACUCCUACGGGAGGCAGCAGUAGGGAAUCUUCGGCAAUGGACGAAAGUCUGACCGAGCAACGCCGCGUGAGUGAAGAAGGUUUUCGGAUCGUAAAACUCUGUUGGUAGAGAAGAACGUUGGUGAGAGUGGAAAGCUCAUCAAGUGACGGUAACUACCCAGAAAGGGACGGCUAACUACGUG